rnacentral:ncRNA from 1 species
CCACUGCCAGAGUGGCCCCUUGGGGAUGUCUGGACACCGAUAAGCCGGUAGUGCGGUGGUGCGAUAAACACCGGCAGUC